rnacentral:rRNA from 1 species
UCCUGGCUCAGAAUCAACGCUGGCGGCGUGCCUAACACAUGCAAGUCGAACGAGAAAGGGGCUUCGGUCCUGAGUACAGUGGCGCACGGGUGAGUAACACGUGACUAACCUACCCUGGAGUGGGGAAUAACUGAGGGAAACCUUAGCUAAUACCGCAUAAUACCUACGGGUCAAAGGAGCAAUUCGCUUCAGGAGGGGGUCGCGGCCGAUUAGCUAGUUGGCGGGGUAAUGGCCCACCAAGGCAAUGAUCGGUAUCCGGCCUGAGAGGGCGCACGGACACACUGGAACUGAAACACGGUCCAGACUCCUACGGGAGGCAGCAGUGGGGAAUUUUGCGCAAUGGGGGAAACCCUGACGCAGCAACGCCGCGUGGAGGAUGAAAUGCCCUUGGGAUGUAAACUCCUUCGAUCGGGACG